rnacentral:lncRNA from 1 species
CUCAAUAAAAGAACACCAAACUCUUGUCUUUCUUCCUCAAGUGAUGUGGAGGAAAGGAGCUCCUACCAGGUGCAAAGAAAAAAGAAAACCCACUCUUGGCAGCAGGGGAAUCAGGUUGCCACAGCAACCAGCUUCUUCCCAAGUCCACUCAUUAUCUGGCUUUUGAAUUUGACUUCCUCUGUGUAUGCACCAGACUCAACGCCACCAGCUCGGCUCCUGGCCUGUCCUCAGGAAAGUACAACCGAAGGGAGCCACUGACUUCCUUCCAAGGAUCGAACUUGGGUCCUUCUGCUUUCGAGGCGGGCAGCAGAACCACUGAGCUAAAUCCCUGGCCCACCAUUUGUCUAUUUUUGCUUGGGCUUUUGGGAUCUGUCGCAUAAAUUUCCCAGAGAGAUAUAGGAGAAAUGUCUGCUUCCAAACUGCAACAGAGCUAACAGACCAAAGAACAACUUGGACCAAUCGAGCAUGGAGAGGGCCUGAGAUUUUUAGGGCUACUUUCAAAGCAGUGGACGACUUGUGGGCUGCAGCACCACGGAAGUCACCAAGCCCCUGGUGCUAGGCUACUAGUUUUAUAGGACAUUACUAAAACAGCAAAAGCAGGAUCAAAAGCAUGAUGGGUUCUUGGAAAAGUUGUGUGCACUCUGCUCCUGUCCAACCUUUAUCAGGAAAUGCCAGCCAUCUCAGGAAACACUGUCCAGUGCACUGAGGGGUGUUCGUUGUGCUGCAGUCUGGUGUGCAGCCUCAGAACCUCGUGGGGGUGGGGGCCCAGGAACCCACUGAACAGCUACACGGGCUGAGGGGUGAUGUGCAGUACAAGAUGGAGUUACUUUGGCUCAGGUUCAGAGGACAAUUCUUACCAGAGUCAUAUACAUAAGAUCAUUGCCCAGAGCUACAUCAAGAAGACUUUCUCCAUGUUUUCUGCUAUUAGUUUUACAGUUGCAGUUCUUA